CUUAAAGAAAUACAUAUUGGCAGAGAAUUAUACAGAGCAUUAUUCAGUGCAAAAGAGAGAGAAAAAUCGUAUUGCUCAAUAUGAAUAAUCAAAGUGUUUUCAUGUUUAAUGCCACUAUUAAAAAUUAGGUUAAUGGAGAAUUACUGGGCAAGUGGUCUGAUUUAAUGUUAGUUGGGGAUAAUAAUACAGAAUAUAUGGCAUCAUGCUGAUAGCAUUAUCUUAAUUGUAUAAGUAUGUGUGCAGGUUCUAGAAAUAAUACACUAACAUAUCAAAAGUGAUUAUUUUGAGAGGAGGUUAGAUUAUUUAUAUAAACUGUUCACUUUUGGAAAUCUUGUGAACAAAACCAAGUUCUGGUGACUGAACUCUUU
rnacentral:lncRNA from 1 species